CUGGAGGAUAGCUAAUGUGAUGCUAAUUUUUAAAAAAGGCCCAAUAGGCAAACCUGGCAAUUACAGGCUGGUAAGCCUAACUUCAGUACCAGGCAAAUUGGUUGACACUAUAGUAAGGAACAUAAUUAUCAGAUACAUAAGUGAACAUGAUGUGUUGGAGAGGAGUCAACAUGGAUUUUGUAAAGGGAAAUAAUGCCUCACCAAUCUAUUAGAAUUCUUUGAGGGGGCCAAACAACAUACAUGUGGAUAAGGGUGAUCCCAAGGAUAUAGUGUA